GACGCUUAUUCCGUCGUCGACGUUAGUCGCUGUCGUCGCUGCUAACGAUUCCCCACAGAUGAAAACAUCAAAAGAAAAUGGGUGUUAGCCAUGAAAAGACUAGAUGUGAAUACUGCAGGCAUUUGGGAGCCCAAAAAAGGAGAUGUGCUGUGCUCGAGGCACUUCAAGAAGACAGACUUUGACAGAAGCACUCCAAACACUAAGCUGAAACCAGGAGCCAUCCCUUCUGUCUUUGAGUCUCCCUGUCACUUACAGGAGAAAAGAGAAAAGCUUCAUUGUAGAAAAAACUUCAUUCUCAAAACCCUUCCUGUCAGUAACCGUGGCCACCAGCUUGUUGGCGCCUCAUGCAUUGCAGAAUUCCAACCCCAGCUCAUUUUUGCAUAGCUACAGUGUUAUGGACAGUCCAAAGAAACUUAAGCAUAAAUUAGAUCUUGUGAUCAUCGAGCUAGAGAAUACCAAGGAAAGUCUACAGAAUGUUUUGGACCGAGAAAAACAUUUUCAGAAAUCAUUGAGGAAGACAAUCAGGGAAUUAAAGGAUGAAAGUCUGAUCAGCCAGGAAACAGCCAGUAGACUGGAUGCUUUCUGUUGGGAGUGUUGUCAGGAAAGCACAGCUUGAGACGACUGAAUAUGCCCCAUCUGCAACGGACAUGAUAACGCUUCUUAGAAGCCUCUCCCACACCGCCACUCAACCCUGGCAGCACCGGCAGCAGUACGCAAGCCAAAAGCUGGUUGGAGAUGUGUAGAAAGCUGGUGUGGUUGUGCACUUGUGUGACUUGUGACAAUUCUGUUUUACACACGUAAACUACUGCUGGGUCACUACUGUAAAGUGGUUAAAUCUCAUAAAAGUAAGGAACUAUAUACCAAGUUGGCCAUAUUAAGUUCUGGCAGUUAGAAGAACAACAUGUUUACUUAUAUAUGCUUUAUAGUAAAAUGUGAUUUUAAUUUUAAAUAUUUUACUAUAAAGCAGAAUUUGUUUACAGCACGUGUUCAUCUUGCACCCACGCCAAGGUGCUUUAGUUAUUAGUCAUACUACAGAGUAUUCUUUUUAAUAAGGCACUCAGUAGCCCUGAGCCUGAGAAUAACACAGGGAAAAGACUUACUGCCUUUCAAGUUAAGAGACCAUUAAAGGGGACAGCUGACAGGGUACCGGGUGUCCGGUUCAGUGCGCCACUCCUCACAGGGACUCGUCUGACAUAGAGUAGCUUUAGGCACCAGAGCGGAAGCAUGUAAAACAUAAGGAAACGUGUGUAAAACAGGAAACUGUUUCAAAUGGACAGACUUUGCAGUGGAAAAAGAAACGAGAGAACUAAUGACUGCCCAGUGGCAGUAAUUAAUUGCUUAGAGAAAUGGACAUUCAAAAGAGCUGCUUUGAAACUUCUUACCAAAUAGACAAAAGAAAAGUCUUAGCUAUUUACCAAUUGAGCCAAUGUUAAAAAUUAACUGAAGUUAAGAAUCAUAAAUACUGUACAUUAGAAUAAAAAGUGUUGGCCAGAGUCCCACCCCAUGCUGAGCACAGGUCUGUGACUGAACCUUACUCAGACACCUGUGCAUAGUCACUAGAGUAUGAGCAGCAAUUGUUUGAUCGUCUUAUUAAAUCUUAUUUUGUAACUGUUUCAUGUUUCAUGUUAGUAUUGUGCGGAUAUGGUCAGUUGAAGAUUUUUGUGUUUAAAUUGUUUAGUUUCCAUGUGUGUUUAAUUACCUGCCUGUCAUUUCAUUUCCCUAUAAUGUAUAAUGUCAGUGGGUACUCUAACAGGAAGUGUAGGUGGGUUCUAAACCCCCAGCCUCUCUCUGGGUGAGUGCGGACACUAAAGUUGGUGAUGGGUGACUGACAGGAAAGACUCCCCUCCCCUGGCUGCCUGUGACAGAGCAAGCCUGCAAGACUCUCUAGAGGGAGGGUCCAGAUUCUCCCCGUUACAGUGGCACGGGUCACUCGGCUGCUCAAGUCUCUGUCCUGUCUUUCACUGUGUCUAGUAUCACUGAGAAGUUGGUAACUCACUACCCUUCUGGAGCAGAGUUACCAUUAGAAGUCAGACUUAAAGUAUAGCGUCCCUCCCACCUGCCACCUGAAUGCCUAAACACAGUCCCUACCUCAGUCCUCCACUCAGAGUGCAGCCUAGGUCUCCCAGGGAAGAAUAAAGUAAAGCUAAGCUACGUGGUGAUGUGAAUGCCUUUAAUCCCAGCACUCCGGGGACUACAGGCACAGGAAGGUAGGGCCCUGUGAGAUAAAGGACAGCCAGGGCUACACAGAGAAAUCUUGUCUUGAAUAAAACAAAAAUGACGAUGAUGGUGGUGGUGGUGUCGGUGAUGAUGAUGAUGAUGAUGACGACGUAAGCUAAAUCAUGGCCUAUCUAGAAGUCCUCAGGCAACCAAAGCUGACCCAAGAGUUCUAGUUUCUAAACCUAACAGGUCUCUGGACCCCAAAACACCCUUGAUUUCCAAAGAAGGUACGAAGGAGUCGAUGUGGCAUUUUCUUCCAUAUCAAGUUUAAAUUUCUGAAAAUAAACUUUGUUGCUAAAGGUAGCUAUAAUUAUACAAGUCUUUAAUUUCAGAAGAGAUGAAAAUGUAUUAAAUACUGUUUUAGUUUUUAAAAGUAAAAUUCUUAACAGAAAUAAUUGAGGAAUGAAAGCUAUUUAUUUGAAAAAUAAAAAUUUUGUCUAAU
rnacentral:lncRNA from 1 species